rnacentral:rRNA from 1 species
UAUCUGGUUGAUCCUGCCAGUAUUAUAUGCUGAUAUUAAAGAUUAAGCCAUGCAUGUGUAAGUAUAAGUUAAAUAAUGCGAAACUGCGGAAGGCUCAUUAUAACAGUUAUAGUUUUGAUGGUUAGUAAAAAAAGGAUAACUCUUGUUAAUUGCAGAGCUAAUACUUGAAUUUACUAUAAUCUAUAUGAUUAUAGCGUAAUAAAGCAAUUUAUUACAUAGGAAUAGCUUUUUGAGAAGAAGGUUAAAUUGAGAAUUGAUGAAACUUAAAUGUUUUUACAAGUAACUGUUUUAAAUAUCUGACCUAUCAACUUGAAGGUAUGAUAGAGGCAUACCUAAGUGAUAACGGGUAACGAGAAAUAAGGGUUUGAUUUCGGAGAGGGAGCUUUAAAAAUGGCUACCACUUCUAAGGAAGGCAGCAGGCGCGCAAAUUACCCACUUUUAAUUUAGAGAGGUAGUGACGAUAAUUAAUAGAGUUGGUCUAUUCGAUCAAUUCAAUUAUAAUGAUUAGAGUUUAAAAAAAUUUAAGAAAUCGAUUGGAGGGCAAGUCUGGUGCCAGCAGCCGCGGUAAUUCCAGCUCCAAUAGUGUAUAUUAAAGUUGUUGUGUUUAAAAAGCUCGUAGUCGAAUUAUAAGUUUUUUAUAAUAGUUUUUAAAAAGACUAAUAUAAAAAAAGGAGAAAGGUUUUUUUAAUCUUUUAUUUACUUUGAAAAAAAUAGAGUGUUUAAAGCAAAAGUUAAUUAAUGUAUAAUGAAGCAUAGGAUAAUAAUGAGGAGAAUAAAUUUUUGAGAACAGUAUUAAAAAGGGAAAUUGGGGUAAUUUAGACAAAAUCGGGAGAGGUGAAAAUUCAUGAUCGAUUUUGGAUAAACUAAAGCGAAAGCAUUUUACUCAUAUUCUUUUAUUUGAUCAAGAACGAAAGUUAGGGGAUCGAAGUCGAUUAGAUACCGUCGUAGUCCUAACUAUAAACUAUGUCAACUGGGGAUUGGAUGAAAAUAAACAAGAAAGAUUGAUUUUCGAUUCGGAAGUUUAUCUUAAUUGUUACUCUCUUAUUCAGGAUUUAAAGGGAAACCUUUAAGUUAAUGGACUUCAGGGGGAGUAUGGUCACAAGGCUGAAACUUAAAGGAAUUGACGGAAGGGCACACCAGGAGUGGAGCCUGCGGCUUAAUUUGACUCAACACGGGAAAACUUACCAAGACCGUACAUUAAAAGGAUUGACAGAUUAAUAGUUUUUUCAUGAUAUGAUGGUGAGUGGUGCAUGGCCGUUCUUAGUUGGUGGAGUGAUUUGUCUGGUUAAUUCCGAUAACGAACGAGACUUUAUCUUAUUAAUUGGUUUAGUAAGAGUUUACUUUUACUAAUAUUAUUUUUAUAUACUAUUUAAAAGGACAGACUCUCAUUUUGAAUCAAUUUAAUCAUUGAAUUGGUUUAAAGAAAGAGGAGGAAGCAUGAAGCAAUAACAGGUCUGUGAUGCCCUUAGACAUCUUGGGCUGCACGCGUGCUACAAUGGAAUUUAUAGAGAGUAAUUUAUUGAGAUAUAAGGAAGUUUUAAUAUAGAAAUGUAUUAUUAUGAAAUUGUAUUUUUACCAAUAUUGAAAAAUGGAGGAAAUCUUUUAAAAGGUGUACAUGACUGGGAUUAAUGAUUGGAAUUAUUUGUUAUGAACGAGGAAUUCCUUGUAAGAUUUUGUCAUUAGCAAAAGUUGAAUAAGUCCCUGCCCUUUGUACACACCGCCCGUCGGUUCUCCCGCCGUAAUAUAUAGGUGAAAUUUUAGGAUGAUGAAUAUAAAUAUUUGACAAAAUGGAUUUAAAUCUCUCUAUUUAGAGGAAGGAGAAGUCGUAACAAGGUUUUCGUAGGUGAACCUGCGGAAGGAUCA